UCUACAUGUGAAUUUAUUGAUGCAAUACAACCUUGUUAUGUAUAGCAACAUGGGCUUCAUCCAGUACAUUAUAACUCUCGACAUUUAACAGAUCUGAAAUAACUACAUAAAUUAUAUAAAUAGUAACAGGCAAUAGAGAUAAAUAACUAGUAACACACAAAGGAUAUAACUAACAUAAAAAUAUACAAAAAGUAAAAAUAUUACUAACAUAACAUGUUAUAAGUACGAAUAUAGAUGGUCAAUAUAUGUAAUGAAUUAUGGUAGCAUUUACCCGCUUUGUAUUUUGUAGAGUGGAGAGGUCAUGGCGACUCCAUAGCGAUACCUAGGUAUGUACUGGACCCAAUCAAAAGAUCAUAAUACCAGACGUAUUUGAUCCAAUUAUGUUCCGAUCUAAUUAAUAUAAUCAAUUAAAUCAGUAAUAACACUAAUUUCAUAAUCAAAAAUAUUUCCAAACUGCAAAAUGAUGUGUUGACCAUGUGGACAACUAGUAAGCCUUCCACAAUCCAGCAGAAUUAGGGAUAUCCAGUUGAAUGCAAUGUCCAUAUGAAGGUAUUGGCUCUACAGCAUACAUUUAAAUGUAUUGUCAACUAUUUUUGUUACAAGAUUUUAGUAAACAUAUUUUUAUUUUGAAUAUGAAAGAAAUGUACACGAUAUCCAACAGAACAUCAGUCAACAUAAUCAAAAGGUAAAAUAAAAACAAAACAAUCUUGGAAAUGUCAUAUUCAGGUGGGCAAAUGAAAUAAAUAAGUAUUAAAAACAAGUACAGUACUAAGAACAAGUAUCACAGUAAAUAUAGGUACAUGUAUCAUGGAAAAUUAAAAAUCAUCGCUGAAUCAUGUUCCAAACAACGUUUAAUCUGUCAAUGAUAGAAACAAAACAAACAACAUCGUAUUGUGUUAGGCAUCACCACCUAAUCCACAUAAAGGUAAAGGAAUGUUGUACAAAACAGGAUAAUUAGUUUUAGAUAAAAAGUGUAUAUGUAUAGAUUUCUUUUAGAAUUUAAAUCAACACUGUACACUUACACAUAUCAGGAACUUCAUAUGGCUUUCAUUUUUAACUGCUGGGCUAUAUAGACUUUUAUAUCUCAAUGAUUGCCAUCCCGACUCAAAAAUAUUGUAUUAAUACUAAGAGUAUAUAGACCUUUCUGUUUUGAUAAAAUGUACAUGUGAAAAUGUAAUUUUAGUAUUGUGAAAUGUAACAUCCGGGGCUAAAUUAUCAUUAAAUGUCAAAUAUAAACAUAGAGACAGAGUAAAAUUGUUUAAUAUUAGCAGGGCGUAGACAUAACUCCUACCGUUCACCAGCUCUCUUUGCCGCUAAUGAACUAUAAUCAACUUUAAUUAUAUAAGUACAUCAGCCACUCAGGUUACUGUACAGAAUUCAAAGAGAACUACUACCGUUGACCGGCUACCUUUGGCGCCACCGAUCUAAACAGUGAACUUCUACAAGUACAUGAGCUCUUCAGGUUACUAUACAGAAUUCAGAUAGCUUAAACCGUUCACCAACUCUCUUCGGCGCUAGUGAAUUAAAUGGUGAACUUCUGCAAGUACAUCAAGUCAUUGAGAUUACUGGACAGAAUACAAAAACAGCUACUAUUCACCAUCUCUCUUUGGCGCUAAUGAUCUAAACAGUGAACUUCUACAAGUACAUCACUUCAGGUUACUGUACAGAAUUCAAAGACAGCUACAACCAUUCAUCGGCUCUCUUAGGCGCUAGUGAACUUAUCAGUGAACUUCUACAAGUACAUCACUUCAGGUUACUGUACAGAAUUCAAAGACAGCUACAACCAUUCAUCGGCUCUCUUAGGCGCUAGUGAACUUAUCAGUAAACUUCUAUAAGGACAUCAGUCAUUCAGAUUACUGUACAGAAUACAAAGUGAAGCAACAUUACACACGAUCUCUAUUUUAUAGAGAGAUUCGGCAUUAUGUUGUACUACAAUACAAGUCAAUAUGCACCACAGAUUCAACCAUAUAUAAUGCUCAACAUCAAUCUAACAGUUAUGCCUAGUGCAUAGUCACCAUGGUGUGCUUCUCACAAAAAUAACAAAGCAAAUCUAUUAUAAGACACUAUUGUGAGUCACUCUAUACUGAUUCGGCUGAUUAUACCAACAUUUACUUGCUCGUCGUGUUUUCAGGAGUAUAUUGACAGACCAGAAGGAAAGGGAGGGAUGUUCAAGCAAUUAUCAAAACAUAACUUUUUUUUUUUGCUAUUGAGAUUCAAAGAUUGCUUUUUUGUUUUCAAUUUUAAUUUAAUGGAUUGGUUUCAAGUCACCAAUGAAAUAUUUCAUUUUACCUACAUGUUCCGACAAUCAGUAAACAAGAAACUUGUUUUCUGUUGAGCUUAAACUUAAAUAGAUAAA